rnacentral:rRNA from 1 species
GAUGAACGCUAGCUACAGGCUUAACACAUGCAAGUCAAGGGGAAACGAUAUUGGAAGCUUGCUUCCGAUAGGCGUCGACCGGCGCACGGGUGAGUAACGCGUAUCCAACCUGCCCACCACUUGGGGAUAACCUUGCGAAAGUAAGACUAAUACCCAAUGAUAUCUCUAGAAGACAUCUGAAGGAGAUUAAUGAUUUAUCGGUGAUGGAUGGGGAUGCGUCUGAUUAGCUUGUUGGCGGGGGAACGGCCCACCAAGGCGACGAUCAGUCGGGGUUCUGAGAGGAAGGUCCCCAACAUUGGAACUGAGACACGGUCCAAACUCCUACGGGAGGCAGCAGUGAGGAAUAUUGGUCAAUGGGCGAGAGCCUGAACCAGCCAAGUAGCGUGCAGGAUGACGGCCCUAUGGGUUGUAAACUGCUUUUAUAAGGGAAUAAAGUGAGUCUCGUGAGACUUUUUGCAUGUACCUUAUGAAUAAGGACCGGCUAAUUCCGUGCCAGCCGCCGCCGUAA